rnacentral:rRNA from 1 species
CAGAACGAACGCUGGCGGCGCGUUUAAGCAUGCAAGUCGAGCGGUAAGCCGGAGCAAUCCGGCCUAGAGCGGCGGACGGGUGAGUAACACGUGGAUAAUCUGGCCUACAGUUUGGGAUAGCCUGGUGAAAGCCAGGAUAAUACCGGAUACGACGGUUUGGUCACAAGACUGAAUCGGGAAAGGGGCUAAGGCCUCGCUGAAGGAUGAGUCCGCGUCCCAUUAGCUAGAUGGUGAGGUAAAGGCCCACCAUGGCGAUGAUGGGUAGCCGGCCUAAGAGGGUGAACGGCCACAUUGGGACUGAGAUACGGCCCAGACUCCUACGGGAGGCAGCAGCUAAGAAUCUUCCGCAAUGGUCGAAAGACUGACGGAGCGACGCCGCGUGAAUGAAUGAAGGCCGUGAGGUUGUAAAGUUCUUUUCUGGAGGGAGAAUAAGUGUUGUAGGGAAUGACAACAUGAUGACGUGAAUCCAGGAAUAAGCCCCGGCUAACUACGUGCCAGCCGCGGC